GCAGAUGAAGUAGGAUCCUGUGGAGGUGCAAGCAAGUCGAAACGUGUUAUCUCUACAAUGAGGCAUCGUAUGUCCUUCAUUUGCUUCUAUAUCUGCUCUUGAAUCUGUUACUUCAAUGCGACCUGUUAAGCCUCCACAGCUGCCUGCUGCUCCUCCAGUGUUACUACCCACUGCUCAUGCUGUAGUUCCUAGUGAAUAGCGUCUCGCAUAUGUUGGACAUCAAAAUCUGGAGAUACAGUAGUGAUGGAGGAGGAAUUGUUGUAGAAGUCUGGAGCUCUGGCACCCAUGUCGUACACAUGAUGCUUCUUCUCUCCACCAAACGCUUGUAAGAACAAUUGCUUCGAAUCUGGCUCUUGCGUCUCUAUCGAACUGUCUUGGAUCUGACUAGCUUUCUUCUUCAGCUCAUGAUAACGAUU
rnacentral:lncRNA from 1 species